ACAAGAUUCAACAGGGGAGCCAGCGAGUCUAUUGGGUUUGUUAGGGGCUGGGGAUUUGUUUACAGAGCGUGGGUGGGGGUUGCUUCCAGGAGACUGAGCAUCCCAAAGCUCUAGUCUCACUGUAAAGUCUCCCUCCUGAACAAUGGACUCCCUCAAUCUCUGGAUGGAAUUUACUUAAACUGAUUUCACACUGUCUACUCCAGGGGCCACCCACACUGAGGGCACAAUGGCAGACAAACGUGUGGGAAUAUCAGGUGACAACUCAGGAGCAGAAAUGACUCCCAGAUCUUUGCUGUAUGUAUCAGCAAAGCCCGCCCCAGCAAGAAUGACAGCUUAUAAAGCUGAGAACCUGGAGCACACCCUGGAGACAGCUCAAUAGGUCGGAGAGUGUCCUUCUAAGCGACUCAAUUGGUCUAAACCUCUUCCAGGCAGCUUAGCUGGUUCCUGCGUCUUCCAGGGAAGGACGAUGGUUUUGCAAAGAUGAAGUCUUAAGAAUUACCAAUGAAAAGACGGAGAUGCGGAAAGAAACCAGGGAAAUGUGAUUGUUAGAUUCAGUUGCUUCUGGGUUUUAUUGGAGUAAGAAGAAGGCUGUUGAAACAACGUGGACAUUUCAGAAUUGUGGGGUCACCUCAUUGUCAGCUGACAAGCUCAAUGUAUCGUUAAUUCUUGUGUUUGGUGUUCUGUAGAUAAGUUGUAAAUAUUCAGAUAGGGAAAAUCUAUGUGCGUUGUGAGAUGAAUAUUUUUCAAGACCUUGUGUAAUUGUAUCCAUGUGGAAAAAGAUGAGUUAGUAUUUAAAGGAUACGGACACAAGACUCAAAAUUAGCAAAAGAUACUAAGGGAAGGUUAAACUUUUCUGCCAAAUUGAAAACAGGUGUCCAUACAGAUUUGGGUUAGGGUGGGAAGUUGUUUUCUGUAGGGUCUUCAAAACCAUUUUAUAAGGCGUAUAUGAAUUGGUACCAAUCCAGUUAUCCCCCAAUCCUGGGUGCUGAAGAUGGAUCCCAGGCCUUGCCCUGCUCCCAGUCCUCCUGAAUCAAGGUAAGAUAGGAUCAUGGCCCAGUGGUCAAAAAUGUCCGCUGCUCAGCCUUGUUACUGAGUUUGAUCCCGGGACCCACGAGGUGGAAGAAGAAACCACACCCAUGUCCUCCGAGCAGCACGCACACGUGCACACACUCAUGCAAUGUAAAGAAAUCUACAUAGUACAUAUAUCGGCAUCUUGGGUUCUUAUGUUACAAUGGAAGUGAUCCUCCAUCGUUUUGUCCUUAAUGACUACUAUCGGAGUCUGUAUCUUAACUUAUCUAAUGAACUAGUUGUCUUCUGGACAUCUGGAUUGUUUGGAAAUCUUUCCUGUUUUAAAAAAUGUAUGCGUAUGUGUGUGAGCCUGCAUGCACACAUGUGUGUACCAUGUCAGUGCACGAGAGAGGGUGUUGGGUCCCCAGAACUACAGUUUCAGGCAGCUGUGAGCCCCUGUGUUGCUUCUGGGAACUGAACCCGAUCCACUGAGUCAUCUUUCCAGUCUGUUGUUGUUGUUGGAAACAGGGUCUCUCUUUGUAACUCUGGCUGGCCUAGAACCUGCAAAGUGGGUACACCAGGCUAGCCUUGAACUCAGAGAGAUCCUCCUGCCUCAACCUCUCUCUCUCUCUCUCUCUCUCUCUCUCUCUCUCUCUCUCUCUGUGUGUGUGUGUGUGUGUGUGUGUUUAGGAGGGGGAGGGGUGUUUUUUGUUGUUUUGAGAUGGGGUUUCACAGAACUGGGGCUGAUCAUGAAUUCCUUGAUGUAUUUCCCAGGUCCUGGAACUAGGUGUGUGUGUCACUGUCCCUGGCAUUGUUUUUGUAAUGUUCUGUGCUUGUGUUUGCUCUUUCCAUAAACUCACAUGGAUGCAUGGGAGCAGUGAAAGGGCAAAAGCACUGGUAUUUUUCCUACGUGUUCCCAGCCCUCUCUGGGCCUCUGUCUACUUCCAGUCACCAAGGAACUCUGUGUCUCGUUCUCUACAACAGUCUUGGCUUUGGGAAAAACUCACACUUAGAGCUGCACUUAGAGCUGCCAGUCUCAUCUGCAUUCUCUGCAAGGAGGGACUCUUCGAUGUGAAAGGGCCAUUUGGCUUUAUUUUCCUGUGUCCAUAGCCUUUGUUUGCCAAAUCCACAUAUAACUCAGGGUAGUCCUGGGUCAGUGUGAUAGCACACACCUGUAACCUAAAUACACCAGAGGCUGAGGCAAGUAGGUCCGGAGUUUAGACCAGGUAUGAUGGCACACAUCUUGAAUCCCUGUACCCAGGCCACAGCAGCAAGCAAUCUCUGAGUUUGAGGCCAGCCUGGUGCACAUAAAUUCCACACCAUGGUUACAUAGCGAGAUCUUCAAACAAUAAAAGGUCUAGAGUUUAAGAGCAGCCUGGGUAAUUGAACACAGAACUAGGAAAAGUGCAAAGUGG
ensembl:lncRNA